GUAGUCAUAUGCUUGUCUCAAAGAUUAAGCCAUGCAUGUCUAAGUAUAAGCAACUAUACUGUGAAACUGCGAAUGGCUCAUUAAAUCAGUUAUCGUUUAUUUGAUAGUACCUUACUACUUGGAUAACCGUGGUAAUUCUAGAGCUAAUACAUGCUAAAAACCUCGACUUCGGAAGGGGUGUAUUUAUUAGAUAAAAAACCAAUGCCCUUCGGGGCUACCUGGUGAUUCAUAAUAACUUAACGAAUCGCAUGGCCUUGUGCCGGCGAUGGUUCAUUCAAAUUUCUGCCCUAUCACCUUUCGAUUGUUGGAUAGUGGCCAACAAUGGGUUCAACGGGUAACGGGGAAUG
rnacentral:rRNA from 1 species